AUACGGAGGGUCCAAGCGUUAUCCGGAAUCAUUGGGUUUAAAGGGUCCGUAGGCGGAUUAUUAAGUCAGAGGUGAAAUCCCACAGCUUAACUGUGGAACUGCCUUUGAUACUGGUAGUCUUGAGUUAUAUGGAAGUUGAUAGAAUGUGUAGUGUAGCGGUGAAAUGCAUAGAUAUUACACAGAAUACCGAUUGCGAAGGCAGUCUACUACGUAUAUACUGACGCUAAUGGACGAAAGCGUGGGGAGCGAACAGGAUUAGAAACCCGAGUAGUCC
rnacentral:rRNA from 1 species